rnacentral:lncRNA from 1 species
GGGAAUUGAACAGGUUGAAUGUAGAAUUGGAACUCUUUGUGUGUGCGCGUGCGUGUGUGUGUGUGUAAGGGGUAUGUGUGCAUAGGUGAUGGAGGCAGACAUUGUUAAGAGUAAUUAUGAAGGACGAAUGGCCCAGGUAUGAUAGGGCAGAAGGUAUUUUUAAGGAGAUAAAGUAAAGAAGAACCUGGAAACAAAUGUGGAUCCAUUCUAAGGAAAUUUGGAUGCUGACCUGAGUAGUCUGAACUUUGACUUGAGGGUAAUGGAAAAAAAUCACUGUCUUGAUGAGGGAAGCCAGGCUAUGUGGCAGUAAAAACAGUACAAAACAAACAAAAACUAUUCUGAGUCUUUUCAUAUAAUGGCUUACUUCUAGCACACAUGAAAUUUGAAUGUGGUUGAGGCCAUUCUCCCCAAUGAUAGCCGGUCAUCCUCCAUAUGGUGAUUCAGUGACCAAGACACUUCCAUCUUGUGACUCUGCCAUUUUGACACUUGGCUUCCUGAGCCACACAACAGGGGAAAUAGAGCUUAGAAAACGCACACUUGCUUCUCAAUGCCUUGUUCCAGAAGUGACACCUUCUCUUUCAUUCAUAGUGCAAUGGCCAGAACUCAUUGCAUGGUUCUAUGCAGCAACAAAAGGCCUGAGAAGCAAACCAGAACAGAAGGAGAUUUCCAUAGGCCACCAGCCAGAACAUGACUUGGAGGAUGGAAUGCUCUGUGAGGCUUUUGGUGGGUUGUGUUGCCUAUUGAGGCAGGGAAGAUUUAAGUCAAGAUUUUCUCACAUUGUAAAUGGUGGAUGAGUCAAUGGGAUGGACUGAUAAUUGGCAUUAGGAAUCUAAGGUCAGAAUUUUUUAAAGAUAGGACUCUAUUUUUAACACUUGGGCUGUGGGAAUUCUAGAUGUUUGAUUCUCCCUCAUUUGUGGAGGAAUAGAAAGAUUGGGUUUAACUUAUAAAAUUAGUUUGCUCAGAUCUAGGGUAAGAAUUGACGGGGGCUGGAUUUAGAAGACCCUAACUUUUUAAAUUUUUGUUGCAGUUUCAGGGAUGGCAGAGACUUAGGAAGAAAGGGCUUAGGUAGAAGUAAGAACCCAAGAGGGAAGCCUCUGGAGCGUAUCUUUGUAGAGCGUCUCACUGGGGUGUAGUUUUUUCUGUUUUUAGUGACUGUGCUUACACUGAGAGGAUGGGGUGCAGCUUAUUGAGAAGAGGAAGAUGUUCUAAGUGAGACUUAACAGCUCUUCAAAAGGGACCAAGUGUGGGGCUGGCCUGGUGGCGUAGGGGUUAAGUUCACACACUUGGCUUUAGCGGCCUGGGAUUUGCAGGCCUGGAUCCCAGGCAUGGACCUACACACUGCUCAUCAAGCCAUGCUGUGGUGGCGUCCCACAUACAAAAUAGAGGAAGACUGGCACAGAUGUUAGCUCAGGGACAAUAUUCCUCAGGCAAAAAACAAAGGACCAAGGGAGAUUUAACCCAUAAUAUCUUCCCUUUCUAGCAUUUACCUGGUUCUUUUCUCAGAAACUUCCAAGUGGCAGUUGGAAUCACGGAGUUGUAGUGAGAAAAGGUUCCCAUCUCCUUAUGUUGCAGAUAAGGCAACUCCAACAAAAGGAGGUUAAAUUUUGAUUACCACCCUACCACCCUCAAGAUCCAGAGACCAAAGGUAGAGAGUGUCCUUGUAUUCUUGGUAUAAAAACAUCAGGAUCAUCCCGUUUUUUCAGCCCUCUCUUAUGCUAACAGUAGAUGUUUCUGAACUCAUUGCAUGCUGGUUAGUACAUCGUUAUCUUUAAGAAACUUUAAUUGAAUGUCUAGCCUAGUGUGUACAAAGUUCAUGAUGAAUAAGACAUAGCCUUUCCCUUUACAAGCCUUAAGAUCUUCAAGAAAUAGCAUCAGCAUUCAAUUAAGUAAAGCCGUUUCAAGUUUAUAAACGUUCUGCCAGAGAAGUUUAAUUGAGAGUCCCAGCCUGGGGGCCAGGGUGGGGUUUUAGUGCCGGCUUUCUGCCUCUUCACCAACUGUGACAACUUGAGUAAGUCACUUGGUAUUUUUGAGGCUCUCUCCCAUCAAAUUUCAAACACUGAUAAUAUCUGGCCCUCCUGCUUCUGAAUUUUGAGACACAAAUGAGAUCACAGGUUUGCCUAUAAACUGUGAAGUAUAGUAGAAAUGGAAAGGAUCCCCCUCAGUGGGACUGCACCCACAGAGUGAAGAGUUGAAGGAAUUUAUCAUUCUACUUAUUGUCAUCACCAUCAUCAUAAUCUUUGUUAUUAUCAUCAAGGAGUUUUCAUUAGAUACCUCUUGGUAUUUAGCAUUUUCUUGCUCUCCAGCACCUGCAAACCAAAGAGCCACUUUCACUCAACAUGUCCAGGUAAUUGUGACAAAUCAGGGUUUGCAUCAUCUGGUUGGAUGUUGCAGUGGUCCAUGUCACCUUUUGUAUUUGUACACAGCAACUCGUGUGGUAGUUUGCUUUUUCUCUUAUCCACACUAUGUUCAACAUAGUGAGACAGUCGAAUUAUAACUAAUGAUAGGGCUUAAUGUUUUUUCUCUAUCAAAUCCACAGAUGUAGUGUUGACUGUUGUGAUGUAGACAGUGACGUGGUCUAGGAACAAUGUCCUUCACAUUAAGGAAUUUUAUGGAGAGCCGGCACAAGUUGCAGAUAAUCUUAAGAAACAAUUCCUGGGUCCAGCAGAAGGCAGAUGUCAUUAGAAUAUACUAUGGCCCAGUGGUUAUGAUGCUUAUUGUUACCAAGGCUGAAAUAAACAUUCCAGGCUGGACCUACCUCUUCUUUAG